GGUAAAUCUGUGAUGUACGCGUUGUCCUUUCACUGUGUUGACCGAACAUUUUUAUUGAUAUCUAGGGAUCCUGCUUGUAUCAAAGUUGGUAACAUGCCUUUUCUUUUGGUAGUUCAAUACUGCGAUCGAGGAACCCACCUGCUUAUCUUGCGGGUUCAAUACUCUAGGACGAUUACCGGCAUCGACGGAUUUUACCAUUUUUAUGAAGAUUUCUAAACAAUUUGCUCUGGCAAGUUGUUUUUUUUU
rnacentral:sRNA from 1 species